CUGUACAUGGUUUUACCCGGCUUUAACACAGUUGCAGCAUACUGUAUUUUUCAGUGACAGCACCGUUGUCAAGGCCUUCUUCCGUUACGCACAGGGGUUCGGAGCAUGCUAGGUAGCUAAUUAGCAAAGGUGGUCCCUCUGGGAAUGCGGUCCAAACACUUAAAAGACACACCCUAUCCCCUCAACCCUCAAAUUAAGUGGACACUUCUGAUGACGUAUCAUGGCGUCUGAUGAGUUGAACUUGCAGGGCGAGGGAAGAAUUCAUUGAUUUUAAAUGGACCACUAUUGCCCGGAGCAUGCUAGGCUAUCACUCGUUCAUACCAAGGAUAUGUUUUCUGUCAUCAUGGAACUGUUAUGUGUGCCUUAUAUGCGCUACAGUCAAUUAUGAUUGCAUUUCAUAUCUUGGCUAGAAGACAACGCCUCCCUCCGCAGACAUCGAAUGUUAGCCAUCCUAGUAUAUCAGGCCCCGGAGUGAACAUAAUUGUACACUCGCAAACUCGAUCAAAAAUGAGGGCUGAGGGGCUUACGUUGUCAACUUUCCUUGAUUGGCUAAUCAUUUGGACCAACGACAAAGAUGGCCGCGGGGAUUCCCUCAAGUGCAUAAGGCGAGGUAGCCUACUGUUUGGAAGCAGUUGGGGUCAACUGUUACAUCGCAUGUUGUCCUCCCUCCAUCCAACCAGAUGACAAAGCAGUCUCUUAUCUACUCCAACACGCUGUACUACCGCUCCAGCAGUUCUGUCGUUAUUGUUCACACAGCAGUUGGUGUCCUUAAAAAUACUGAUUAAGGCCAGAGGCUAAAAUGACCUUUUUGCAUGUUCUUAUCUAUUUUGAGAUUUUUUAGUAUGUUGGUCCAUUAAUAUUAUUAUUAAAAAAUAAAAAGUUAAAAUGAUGAUAAAUGUUAAUUGUCAUUAGUUUAUCAUGCCACCAUCAUCAAAAUGUCAUAAAUUAUAACCACUUUUAAAUGGACAUACAUCUGUAAUUUCAAAGCUCACUACAAUGAAUCACACAUCAUUUACAAUCCC
rnacentral:lncRNA from 1 species